GACGAACGCUGGCGGCGUGCUUAACACAUGCAAGUCGAACGGAAAGGCCCUGCUUUUGUGGGGUGCUCGAGUGGCGAACGGGUGAGUAACACGUGAGUAACCUGCCCUUGACUUUGGGAUAACUUCAGGAAACUGGGGCUAAUACCGGAUAGGAGCUCCUGCUGCAUGGUGGGGGUUGGAAAGUUUCGGCGGUUGGGGAUGGACUCGCGGCUUAUCAGCUUGUUGGUGGGGUAGUGGCUUACCAAGGCUUUGACGGGUAGCCGGCCUGAGAGGGUGACCGGCGACAUUGGGACUAAGAUACGGCCCAGACUCCUACGGGAGGCAGCAGUGGAGAGUAUUGCACAAUGGGCGGAAGCCUGAUGCAGCAACGCCGCGUGCGGGAUGACGGCCUUCGGGGUGUAAACCGCUUUCGCCUGUGACGAAGCGUGAGUGACGGUAAUGGGUAAAGAAGCACCGGCUAACUACGUG
rnacentral:rRNA from 1 species